rnacentral:lncRNA from 1 species
UUUUCGGACUCAGCCUGCCUGCACCCAGGUGAUUAAAAGCUUUAUUGCUCACACAAAGCCUGUUUGGUGGUCUCUUCACAUGGAUGCGCAUGAAAUUUGGUGCGGUGACUCGGAUCGGGGGACCUCCCUUGGGAGAUCAAUCCCCUGUCCUCCUGUUCUUUGCUCCGUGAGAAAGAGCCACCUACGACCUCAGGUCCUCAGACCAACCAGGCCAAGAAACAUCUCACCAAUUUCAAAUCCGCCACUCCCAGAGCCCCUGGAACUCUGGCCCAAGGCUCUCUGACUGACUCCUUCCCAGAUCUUCUCGGCUUAGCGGCUGAAGACUGACACUGCUCAAUCACCUUGGAAGCCCCCUAGACCAUCACGGACGCCGAGCUUCAGCAGGAGAAGACAAGGAGAUGGAGAGACUGUCAACCUAGAACCAGUAAUGACCAGUUCCAACUUAAUUACAGAAAGGGAGAAAAGAUCAAUCAUUUAAGUUGCUUCAUCGUCUAAAUAAAAGUGUUUUGGCUGUUGAAACAUGAACCUAGACUCCUGCCUCAACAUAUUUAAAAUGAGAACAAAGUGGCAGUAUCAUGGUGGUGGGCGUUUAGAUGCUUACAUUGUUUUCAUCUACAAAACAGGCUUUCCUUUCACACCCUAGCUCUUUGCUGGGCUGGUGGAGCUGAUUGACAGAUAUAGCCCGCUCCAAAGGAACAGCCCUUUCUCAAGGAAUGAAUGAUUUGCUCUAAGUAUUUAAAUCCUCUGCUCAAAAUCAAACAUAAAUUGAAGUAUCAAAAUAAACAAAAAUAUGGUUUGUGGUUUUGAAAGCAUUUCUUUGUGAUUUUUGCUAAAAAGAGAAAUGCCAAAAAAAUUUUUUUAAAGAUUUUGAGACAAUUAUCUGGCGCAGUGGCUCACGCCUGUAAUCCCAGCACUUUGGGAGGCUGAGGCAGGCAGAUCAUGAGGUCAGGAGAUCAAGACCAUCCUGGCCAACAUGUUGAAACCCCAUCUCUACUAAAAAUAUAAAAAUUAGCUGGGCAUGAUGGGCGCCUGUAAUCCCAGCUACUCAGGAGGCAGAGGCAAGAUAAUCACUUGAAUCCAGGAGGUGGGGGUUGCAAUGAGCCAAGAUCAUGCCACUGCACUCCAACCUGGGC